CAGCAGCCGCGGUAAUACGUAGGUGGCAAGCGUUGUCCGGAAUUAUUGGGCGUAAAGCGCGCGCAGGUGGUUUAAUAAGUCUGAUGUGAAAGCCCACGGCUCAACCGUGGAGGGUCAUUGGAAACUGUUAAACUUGAGUGCAGGAGAGAAAAGUGGAAUUCCUAGUGUAGCGGUGAAAUGCGUAGAGAUUAGGAGGAACACCAGUGGCGAAGGCGGCUUUUUGGCCUGUAACUGACACUGAGGCGCGAAAGCGUGGGGAGCAAACAGGAUUAGAUACCCCCGUAGUCCCUGUCUCUUAUAC
rnacentral:rRNA from 1 species